UUUAAUUGAUUGACAUGUACAUUUCUUAUUUUGUGUGUCCCAGGAAACAACAGAAAGAUCAACUGACCCACCGUCAUUGUGGGCUGUUCUCUUAAUACAUCCAUGAUUGCACCUGGCAGACUCUCAUGGAACAAGAAACAUCCCUCAAAGACCAUCCAACCAAGGCAACGGAGCAGACAAAAAGAUCUGACAACAUGGAGAACAGCUCGUUUAUGGGUGAAUUUGUAUUAAUUUGCAUCUUUAUUAGGAUGAAUGCCUGUAAAAUACCCACACUCAUGAUGCAUGUGGUAGUAUAUGGACCCGUGCACAUUGAUCAUGGACGUCAGACACAUACUGUACAUGGAUGUUUGAUCUGCUUCAUUAUUUUGAUGCAAGCCACAUGCUGGAAGUCAAGAAACAAGGUUUCACAAGUCAUAUCAAACAGCAAA